rnacentral:rRNA from 1 species
GGACAGCCUUCUGAAAGGAAGAUUAAUACAAGAUGGCAUCAUGAGUUCGCAUGUUCACAUGAUUAAAGGUAUUCCGGUAGACGAUGGGGAUGCGUUCCAUUAGAUAGUAGGCGGGGUAACGGCCCACCUAGUCUUCGAUGGAUAGGGGUUCUGAGAGGAAGGUCCCCCACAUUGGAACUGAGACACGGUCCAAACUCCUACGGGAGGCAGCAGUGAGGAAUAUUGGUCAAUGGGCGCAGGCCUGAACCAGCCAAGUAGCGUGAAGGAUGACUGCCCUAUGGGUUGUAAACUUCUUUUAUAAAGGAAUAAAGUCGGGUAUGGAUACCCGUUUGCAUGUACUUUAUGAAUAAGGAUCGGCUAACUCCGUGCCAGCAGCCGCGGUAAUACGGAGGAUCCGAGCGUUAUCCGGAUUUAUUGGGUUUAAAGGGAGCGUAGAUGGAUGUUUAAGUCAGUUGUGAAAGUUUGCGGCUCAACCGUAAAAUUGCAGUUGAUACUGGAUAUCUUGAGUGCAGUUGAGGCAGGCGGAAUUCGUGGUGUAGCGGUGAAAUGCUUAGAUAUCACGAAGAACUCCGAUUGCGAAGGCAGCCUGCUAAGCUGCAACUGACAUUGAGGCUCGAAAGUGUGGGUAUCAAACAGGAUUAGAUACCCUGGUAGUCCACACGGUAAACGAUGAAUACUCGCUGUUUGCGAUAUACUGCAAGCGGCCAAG